rnacentral:rRNA from 1 species
UACACUCCUGCGGGAGGCAGCAGUGGGGAAUUUUGGACAAUGGGCGAAAGCCUGAUCCAGCAAUGCCGCGUGAGUGAAGAAGGCCUUCGGGUUGUAAAGCUCUUUUGUCAGGGAAGAAACGGUGAGAGCUAAUAUCUCUUGCUAAUGACGGUACCUGAAGAAUAAGCACCGGCUAACUACGUGCCAGCAGCCGCGGUAAUACGUAGGGUGCAAGCGUUAAUCGGAAUUACUGGGCGUAAAGCGUGCGCAGGCGGUUUUGUAAGUCUGAUGUGAAAUCCCCGGGCUCAACCUGGGAAUUGCAUUGGAGACUGCAAGGCUAGAAUCUGGCAGAGGGGGGUAGAAUUCCACGUGUAGCAGUGAAAUGCGUAGAUAUGUGGAGGAACACCGAUGGCGAAGGCAGCCCCCUGGGUCAAGAUUGACGCUCAUGCACGAAAGCGUGGGGAGCAAACAGGAUUAGAUACCCGAGUAGUCCCAUGAU